UCCUCUGUAGUCUAACGGCUAAGAUACAUGUCUUUCACACAUGGGACCCGGGUUCGACUCCCGGCAGGGGAA
rfam:Auricularia subglabra TFB-10046 SS5 ATRDEscaffold_78_Cont2091, whole genome shotgun sequence.